rnacentral:lncRNA from 1 species
UGAAAGGAUGUUGUGAUAAACAGACGGAGGUUUCCAGCAGGAUUGUUGUUGCUCAACACUGAGGCUGAACAUGGCUCUCUCAUCCCUGCCGUUCUUGGGGUUCCUCCUCCUCUUCCUUCAUGAGUUGGAUGCCCAAACUGUUAUUGGCUAUUCUUCUUCCUUCUCUUCCAUGGAUCUGCCAAGGAGUUCUUCGCCAACCAAGCAGACUAUUCGGUUCUGGCCUUCCUUGCCCCCCAGAGGACGCAGCGAUGUGCCGAUCAGAGUCACCUUACGGGACAGAUUGACAACUAUGAACGCGGUGGACCAAGGGCAAAGAAUAACCCCUGAGACAACACAUUUCAGUCCCUCUUUGACGAUGACCUCUUCUGUUGAGAAUCCCAUCGGAGAGACAGCUGUAACUGAACCCACUUCCUCCAGGCCCAGGACGGACACAGCCAGAUUAGCUUUCAAACAGGCUUUCAGAAGGGGAGAGGUUGCUACAAAAAACCCAAAUGAACCUUUGAAUGUGAGGUCUUCCACCACUGUUGGGGAGACUGCAGAUGAUGGAUUGGGAACAGCUGGAAAUUCAGACAAGGGAACAGUCGGAGACUCGGAGGAUGGGGAUACACAAGGCUUGGGGUCAGGAGCAGUAGCAUCAAAAAAGGAUGAUUUACCUCCUCCUCUACCAACACAGGGUAAUGAAAUGGCUCAAUAUCGGCCACAGGAACAGACCAUGAUGUCCAAAGUCUCUAAUGUAAAAGCUCCAACACCAGAGUCACACAUGUCUGUUCUGACCACAGCUCGUACAUCCAGCACAGCCUCAACAGCGCACCAUCUCGAGAAAAGAAUCCCACAGUCUUUGAAUACAACUCAGCAAAUACCCCAAACCGUUGGAUUACCAGGUAAACUGGCAUCAAAGAAUCCUUCUGCUAAAGGAGUUGGUCCAAACCAGGGUGCAGCUGUUUUAACAUCUCCCCAGCCCACAUCGCCCAUUGCCAACCAGCACCCCCAGACUGCAGAACAGCAUCUGACAGCCAAAAACUCAAGCCUUCUGAGAACACAAUCAGCCAACGUCAGUGCUACACAGGAGCCUGUUGGGAUGUCCACCCAAAACAGCAAAGCAGUCCAACUAGGAAGGCCAGCAGCAGGCACUACUGUGCGGUCCACAAGGACAGGUAAGGAAAAAGGAUCUUCUGUUCUGGGGUAGAACCGGUUGUAAAGUUUCCUUUAUCCUCUGAUAAUUUGGAGCAGAUUUAUUUGUACAGCUGGGACUUUUUUACUGAAGGAAUUUUAGAGAAAGAGGCUUCAAAGGAGGGGAAAAAGGCGGAGAUGCUUUUCCCUUGGAAAAAUGGGGCCGCACUUGUGUGCGGGUGGACACUACAAGCGACAAAAAUAUGAACAGGGGGUGAGAGAGAGGUAUAAAAAGGAG